rnacentral:rRNA from 1 species
GUUGGGUAGGGGAGCGUUCUGUAAGCCUGCGAAGGUGGCCUGUGAGGGUUGCUGGAGGUAUCAGAAGUGCGAAUGCUGACAUAAGUAACGAUAAAGCGGGUGAAAAGCCCGCUCGCCGGAAGACCAAGGGUUCCUGUCCAACGUUAAUCGGGGCAGGGUGAGUCGACCCCUAAGGCGAGGCCGAAAGGCGUAGUCGAUGGGAAACGGGUUAAUAUUCCCGUACUUGGUGUUACUGCGAAGGGGGGACGGAGAAGGCUAUGUUGGCCGGGCGACGGUUGUCCCGGUUUAAGCGUGUAGGCUGACUUUCCAGGCAAAUCCGGAGAGUCAAGGCUGAGGCGUGACGACGAGGCACCACGGUGCUGAAGCAACAAAUGCCCUGCUUCCAGGAAAAGCCUCUAAGCAUCAGGUAACAUCAAAUCGUACCCCAAACCGACACAGGUGGUCAGGUAGAGAAUACCAAGGCGCUUGAGAGAACUCGGGUGAAGGAACUAGGCAAAAUGGUGCCGUAACUUCGGGAGAAGGCACGCUGACACGUAGGUGAAGUGAUUUACUCAUGGAGCUGAAGUCAGUCGAAGAUACCAGCUGGCUGCAACUGUUUAUUAAAAACACAGCACUGUGCAAACACGAAAGUGGACGUAUACGGUGUGACGCCUGCCCGGUGCCGGAAGGUUAAUUGAUGGGGUCAGCGCAAGCGAAGCUCCUGAUCGAAGCCCCGGUAAACGGCGGCCGUAACUAUAACGGUCCUAAGGUAGCGAAAUUCCUUGUCGGGUAAGUUCCGACCUGCACGAAUGGCGUAAUGAUGGCCAGGCUGUCUCCACCCGAGACUCAGUGAAAUUGAACUCGCUGUGAAGAUGCAGUGUACCCGCGGCAAGACGGAAAGACCCCGUGAACCUUUACUAUAGCUUGACACUGAACAUUGAGCCUUGAUGUGUAGGAUAGGUGGGAGGCUUUGAAGCGUGGACGCCAGUCUGCGUGGAGCCGGCCUUGAAAUACCACCCUUUAAUGUUUGAUGUUCUAACGUGGACCCGUGAUCCGGGUUGCGGACAGUGUCUGGUGGGUAGUUUGACUGGGGCGGUCUCCUCCUAAAGAGUAACGGAGGAGCACGAAGGUUGGCUAAUCCUGGUCGGACAUCAGGAGGUUAGUGCAAUGGCAUAAGCCAGCUUGACUGCGAGCGUGACGGCGCGAGCAGGUGCGAAAGCAGGUCAUAGUGAUCCGGUGGUUCUGAAUGGAAGGGCCAUCGCUCAACGGAUAAAAGGUACUCCGGGGAUAACAGGCUGAUACCGCCCAAGAGUUCAUAUCGACGGCGGUGUUUGGCACCUCGAUGUCGGCUCAUCACAUCCUGGGGCUGAAGUAGGUCCCAAGGGUAUGGCUGUUCGCCAUUUAAAGUGGUACGCGAGCUGGGUUUAGAACGUCGUGAGACAGUUCGGUCCCUAUCUGCCGUGGGCGCUGGAGAACUGAGGGGGGCUGCUCCUAGUACGAGAGGACCGGAGUGGACGCAUCACUGGUGUUCGGGUUGUCAUGCCAAUGGCACUGCCCGGUAGCUAAAUGCGGAAGAGAUAAGUGCUGAAAGCAUCUAAGCACGAAACUUGCCCCGAGAUGAGUUCUCCCUGAGACUUAGAGUCUCCUGAAGGAACGUUGAAGACGACGACGUUGAUAGGCCGGGUGUGUAAGCGCAGCGAUGCGUUGAGCUAACCGGUACUAAUGAACCGUGAGGCUUAACCUU